rnacentral:rRNA from 1 species
GAUGAACGCUGGCGGCGUGCCUAAUACAUGCAAGUCGAGCGAACAGACGAGGAGCUUGCUCCUUCGACGUUAGCGGCGGACGGGUGAGUAACACGUAGGUAACCUACCUAUAAGACUGGGAUAACUUCGGGAAACCGGAGCUAAUACCGGAUAAUAUUUCGAACCGCAUGGUUCGAUAGUGAAAGAUGGCUUUGCUAUCACUUAUAGAUGGACCUGCGCCGUAUUAGCUAGUUGGUAAGGUAACGGCUUACCAAGGCAACGAUACGUAGCCGACUUGAGAGGGUGAUCGGCCACACUGGAACUGAGACACGGUCCAGACUCCUACGGGAGGCAGCAGUAGGGAAUCUUCCGCAAUGGGCGAAAGCCUGACGGAGCAACGCCGCGUGAGUGAUGAAGGUCUUCGGAUCGUAAAACUCUGUUAUUAGGGAAGAACAAACGUGUAAGUAACUGUGCACGUCUUGACGGUACCUAAUCAGAAAGCCACGGCUAACUACGUG